GAAUGCUUGAGAAAUGCUUAUAAAGUUAUAUAAUCUAUUUUUUCAAGCAAUAUUCUUCAUGUCAUUCCACAUUGCAAAAACUUUGCGGAAAAGAAUAGGCAUAUGAAUGAACAAGGAAUAGACUUUGCAUUAGAUUGGUAAUCUUGCUGCUAACACAUUAAUUUACUUGCAUUACUGAUAUUUUAAGGUAGGAUUUUUGUAGAUGUUUAUAUAUUUUUAAAAACCUAUUUUUUUCUUUACCCUUUUUCUCAAUUUAUUUUUAACCUUGAAAACCUUUUCAUCCCUGAGAGAAAUACAUGGGCUAUCUUCAGCACAGAACACAAACUCUACCUUCUUUUCUCAUGUCCAGUAAUUCAAGUUUGACACACUACACCAGGGCGGACGUGCCUUGUCAUUACACAUCUUCUCAGCAGCACCAGAAGAUACAUCCAAAGUCGUGUGAGCAAGGCUAUUUAUUAAACUAAUCCAUGUUCUGAACUGUUAUUGCUACUGGAAAGGGGCCCGAUCCAGACCCCAAAAGAGGAUUCUUGGAUCUUGCACAAGAAAGAAAGGUGAGUCCAUAAAGUAAAGUGAAAGCAAGUUUAUUAAGAAA
rnacentral:lncRNA from 1 species